GCAAACUCAAGAGCUUUCACUCCACACUUGCCCACACGUUUUUGCCUCCAAGCUUCCAAACUUUCAAGUGCUCAAGUGUCCUAGCUUUCCAAAGCUUCAAAAGCUCUCCAACUUCUUCUUCUAAUCUUCUUGUUCAUCUUUACAAGUAAGAAGUGUUGAUUGCUUUAAAUAUUCCACUCCUCUAAUCACCUCUUGUGUGUGUCCACUUUGGUUGAGAGAGUUGUCUCAAUAGUACCAAAGUGUGAGUGAAGGUUUUUGAGCUCAACCAUAAAGCUCUAGUUUGGUUUUAUAGAGUUUCCGGGAAAACUCUUAGGUCGAGUCUACCUUUAAAGAUUUCAGAGGUUUUUAAGAGUUCCUUGAUACUCUAAGGUACUAACUUACCCGCAAAAGUUAGAGGUUCUUAAGAGUGCCCUUGAUACUCUAAGGUGUGAGUCUACCCGUAAAAGAAUGGUUCCUAAGCGAAGUAGCCUUAAAGCUUAGAGAGGUUUUUAAGAGUUCCUUGAUACUCUAAGAUACUAACUUACCCGCAAAAGUUAGAGGUUCUUAAGAGUGCCCUUGAUACUUUAAGGUGUGAGUCUACCCGUAAAAGAUUGGUUCCUAAGCGAAGUAGCCUUAAAGCUUAGAGAGGUUCUUAAGAGUUUCCUUGAUACUCUAAGGUUUUGUCAUAACCUUUAAGCGAGUGAAUUCCGACAGUUGGUCGGGACUGGACUAGCCCUUGUUUGGGUGAACCAGUAUAAAUCUCUUGUGUUGUUCUUUGUUAACUCUAGUUUUUAUCUUUCAUCUAAAAACAACUAAACAAUACUUAAUUGAAAAGGAUCCCUCUUCCAGUUAUCUGGUCAAAUACAGAGGUUGACUACUUUACGCAGAUCCCUCAUCCAGUUAUCUGGUCAACUAUCUGAGGUUAUAUUCAUUGCUUUAAAUCUUUAUUCAUAUAUUUAUUCAAGCAUUUACUUAUCAUAUAUAUAUCCAGUUAUCUGGUCAUUUACUUGUUUAUCAAUAUAUCCAGUUAUCUGGUCAUUUACUUGCUUAUCAAUAUAUCCAGUUAUCUGGUCAUUUACUCUAUGAUAUAACUUGUGUUUAUAAUAUAACUUAGUAUUCAUAUACUAUAGUUGUUUAUAAAACACCAUCUGAAAAGUUGACUACGUAUUCAUAUACUGUAGUAAACUUCAAGAGCAAAAGGCAAGUUCAAUAUAUAAUAUUAUAUUCUUUAAAAUUAUAUAAUAGUAUUGUAUUGUUAACAAUAUUAUACUAUUAUUGUUAUACAACCAUUUGUGUACUUAAGUGUGUGCAGGUAAUUCCGCUAUUAACUUGCAUAAAUCGAAAAGAAGCUAUUAUCCCCCCUUAUAACCUCGGAUCUCGAUCCAACAAUUAUUUCUUACAAGGGCUUGUACUUCAAAUUCCAUUGCAUGAACCCAAUCAACAAAUGUAGCAACUUGCUUGAAGGUGUUGGGUUCGGUCAUAUCAUCAACCGUUGUGAGUUGAAGACCAGCUAAGGCCUUGUAGUCAACUAUUGGAACAUUUCGUCGUGAUCGUCUAGAUGGAUGUAGUAAUGGAGGAUCAGGUGGUGGUGGUGGAGAAUCAACCUGAAUUGAGGAUGAUGGUGAGUUUGAGGUGGUGGGACUUGUAUCUGGCGAUGGCGAUCUGUUUGGGAUUGGUCUUUGACUUAUGAUUGACAAAGAUUGAUUUAUAUCCGACGGACUUGAGUAGAUCACUUGAUCACUGAUAAAUGGAUCAUUUUGUUUGUAAAGUUGAUCCGGGACAAUCACCUCAUUAUUCGUCUGAUGUUGCUUUGUCUGUACCUGUAAAUUUGCAAAUGGGAAGGACUCCUCCAAAAACUUACAGUG
rnacentral:lncRNA from 1 species